rnacentral:rRNA from 1 species
GCAGUAGCCGCGGUAAUACGUAGGGUGCAAGCGUUAAUCGGAAUUACUGGGCGUAAAGCGUGCGCAGGCGGUUUUGUAAGACAGAGGUGAAAUCCCCGGGCUCAACCUGGGAACUGCCUUUGUGACUGCAAGGCUAGAGUACGGCAGAGGGGGAUGGAAUUCCGCGUGUAGCAGUGAAAUGCGUAGAUAUGCGGAGGAACACCGAUGGCGAAGGCAAUCCCCUGGGCCUGUACUGACGCUCAUGCACGAAAGCGUGGGGAGCAAACAGGAUUAGAUACCCCUGUAGUCCCUGUCUCUUAUAC